UACGUAGGGUGCGAGCGUUAAUCGGAAUUACUGGGCGUAAAGACGUGCGCAGGCGGUUUUGUUAAGUCAGAUGUGAAAUCCCCGGGCUCAACCUGGGAACUGCGUUUGAAACUACAAGGCUAGAGUGUAGCAGAGGGUAGAAUUCCACGGUGUAGCAGUGAAAUGCGUAGAGAUGAUGGAGGAAUACCAAUGGCGAAGGCAGCCCUGGGU
rnacentral:rRNA from 1 species